rnacentral:rRNA from 1 species
UACGUAAGGUGCAAGCGUUGUUCGGAAUGACUGGGCGUAAAGCGCAUGUAGGCGGUUUACUAAGUUGGAUGUGAAAUCCCCGGGCUCAACUCGGGAGUGGCAUCCAAAACUGGUUUACUUGAAUCAUUGAGAGGUCAGUGGAAUUCCUGGUGUAGGAGUGAAAUCCGUAGAUAUCAGGAGGAACAUCAGUGGCGAAGGCGGCUGGCUGGCGAAUGAUUGACGCUGAGAUGCGAAAGUGUGGGGAGCAAACAGG